rnacentral:rRNA from 1 species
CAGCAGCCGCGGUAAUACGGCGGGUGCAAGCGUUAAUCGGAAUUACUGGGCGUAAAGCGCACGCAGGCGGUCUGACAAGUCAGAUGUGAAAUCCCCGGGCUUAACCUGGGAACUGCAUUUGAAACUGUCAGGCUGGAGUCUUGUAGAGGGGGGUGGAAUUCCAGGUGUAGCGGUGAAAUGCGUAGAGAUCUGGAGGAAUACCGGUGGCGAAGGCGGCCCCCUGGACAAAGACUGACGCUCAGGUGCGAAAGCGUGGGGAGCAAACAGGAUUAGAUACCCGCGUAGUCCCUGUCUCUUAUAC